GGGAAGGAGGCAAUGCUCAUUAAGUGUGUGAUAUGCAACCGGUUCAGAACUCUGCCUGUCCACUGAGAGAGCCUUUCACUGCUGCCUGGCAAGCCCGACAUUUGAACUCACUCAGGAAAAGAGAGUGGAUUUUACUUUUCCAAAGUGGAAAGAAUACCUUCAUCGGGGGCAGCUUUCCUUUCCGUAGCAUCCAGGAGAAGUUGGAAACUGUACAUAGCUAAGACGAAGACAAUUUGCUGAUUUCUUUUGUGCUGUUCUGAUUGAACACAAAUGCGCGUCUUUUGGGAGGGAGGGAGAAAAGGAGAAGAGUUUGCUACUGGUGGAAUGAAUACAAUGCAGCUUUUGGAAGCUGAAGUUCACAUCUUGAGGGAAUUUGUUGAACCAUUUGAAGUCUUCCUUAAAUAAUGUGCCCAACAGCAGGAAGACUGUCUACAUCAAGAAGAACUGUGUUCACACAACCAGGAAGAAGCACAAACUGUUGAAUGACCCUGGAGCACGGCUGCCAUGUGCUUCUCUUCGACGCCAGUGGCUACAGAGCUGCAGGUGUUUUCCUGGAGACACAAAAGUUAACAAGGAUAGAGGUGUUGGCCAACAGCCAGGAGGAUAAAAUUGCCCAGAAGAGAAAGAUGAGGAACUACAAGAGUCGUCCCAUGCUGAGUUUUUGUACCUUUGUGGCUCUCGAAGCAAACACAUAGAUCUCCCCUUGGCAGAUGGACUGAUCCUAUUUCUACCCUUUCACAUCCAGGUACUGGGUUUGGGGUGGGGUAGUUUGAAGCAUUUAUAAGACUAGUACAUUGACAUUGGAUUUGUAAGAGUAGCUUAACAUUCCAUUUCCCUUCGCAAGGAAUUCUGUGGAUUGUAGUUCUGAGAGGGGAAUAUGAGCUCAUAACAACUCUCAGAACCCUUAACAAACUCCAGCUCCCAGAAUUCUUUGGGUGAAGCCAUGGCUGUUGAAAGUGGUGUCAUAGGGUGGCCUCAGUAUAAGGAACACCAAGACUGCAUAUGAAAAUGCACUUAGAUUUCUCACAGAAAGAAUGCACCAUACUGGCAUAAACAACCAAAGUUACAAAUAAUUUCUUAUGUUAACAAUACUCCAAUGUUCAUUUUUAUAAGCUGCUGGAUACUGGCUUUGCAUGUAUCAUUUUGCAAGAACCCUCACUGUGUUCUGUAUUGUAUCAGUAUGAGAAAGCCAAAAUAAAUAAAGAGUGUGGCACUGAGAAACAUAUGUAUAACUUUAACAAAAUGGCAAAAUGCUCAGUGCGUUUCAAUGGAAGCCUUCCUCAGUAAAUUUAGUUUACUGAUCUUUCCAGUAAGGCUACACCACCAGGAGUGGUGAUGACUGCAGUUCAUCACAGGUCACGCCAUGGCUGAACUGGGAUUUGAACUCAGGUCCAAUGACUGUCCGAAACACCUCCUCUCACCCCCAGUGUCCCAGCCCCAUAGAGGGUGUACAUGGAUUUUCAGGUGCUCCUCCUGGUGAAAACCAUCAUUUCCGCAACACUGGCACCACAUAGUGAGAUAUAAGCAUUGUUUGACACUUGAGUAUCUGGUCAUUUUAUCAUGCAAUUUCCUGGAGAGUUCAGUCAACUCAGCUUUUGGAGGAAGGGAUCUUGUGAUGGGUAAAUCUGCCAUAUUCAGUUCCUUUCAGUUUCUCAUUUUUCCAACCUUAGAUUCCGUUUUCCACAUUUCCACGUGUGGGUUUUUCCUUUUUAAGUCCUCAUAAAAAUCCACCAGCUUUUUAGUGUGAAUUUCUCCCAAUAUACACAUUUCGGCAAAGCUGUUAUGACAUUUUGGCAUGCUUCAUUCAAUAAUAUAUGCAGUUUUAUGCACACUUUACCCUAGUAUAUGCCUUUGUGCAUGCCGCACUGGACUUAGAGAACAGCACUGCAAAAUCUGGAGAAAGGUGAAUUCCAAAAGAUAGUCAUGUUUUGUCUCACAUAUUGUUCUGGAAAAUACAGAUUCUCUGAGUUCACCUUUGAAUGUGAACUGAAUUGAGUUUCUUCUCCAUCUGUAGGAGGGGCAUUGGCCAAUCCACAAGAUGUAUUCCUCCUUAAGAACAAGAAAAGUCCUCUCUCUGUUCUGUGUCUGUAUGUGUGUGUGAGAGGCCUCCCGCUUCUUUCCAGCAAGGGAAUGUAAGCAGAUAUUGGCCCAAAAGCACUUUGCUCAGCAGUUUUUGGCUUGUUUUAAUUGGCCAGCCCUGCAAGCAUUCUGGACACUGUACCUGCGCCAACAAAAAUUCUCCACUUAGGUUCAGCGAGUCCUGAUUCUGAGAACAGGAGAGGGACAUGGACUCACGAAAAGGAAUGAGAAAAGCCAGGCUCAUGUGUUAAAACAAUUCCUUGGAAAGGUGGUGGUGUGAGGAGAACAUGUAUAGAAUAUAGAAAAUACCAGCUACACCCAUUUGCUGAUUGUCCUCAGGAGCCUAUUUGACUUUUCCUGGCGUAAAGAUUACUGCGGCUGUUCUUGAGCUUCCUUUAUGUGUGUGUGUGUGUGUGUGUGUGUGUGUGUGUGUAAGAUGCAUGUUUCAUAUCAAAACAGUAGCAGGUUGUUUCCUCUGAGAAAAGCCAAAGGAAGCCAACUGACCAUGCAUUGUGGUUUGCCAAAGGCUUGACCAUCUGAGUCUCUUGAUCAGGCAUCCCCAAACUUCGGCCCUCCAGAUGUUUUGGACUACAAUUCCCAUCAUCCCUGACCACUGCUCCUGUUAGCCAGGGAUCAUGGGAGUUGUAGGCCAAAACAUCUGGAGGGCCGCAGUUUGGGGAUGCCUGCUCUUGAUGGUCUGGGGAACCCAAGAAGGCUUAUUUAGCUCCCAGUGCGAAGCCGAACAGGUCACGCUGGUGAGCUGUAUUUGGCUUCCUAGGUCCCAAGUUGGACAGACCUGCAAUUCAGAUGGUCAGACUCAUUUACUUGAGAUCUGUCUGAUGCCAAGGGGCCCGUCUUCCCACCCCAGCCAGAAAUGUUAUCUAGUGUUCUCAGUUCACAACCCUGAAAUCCAUGCUCUACCUUCUAAAAAUCCCCCCAGAUGCCUCACCAGCAGAGAUGUGGAAAUCUGUCAGUUUUGGUUUCUCUUCAUUUUUCAUUUUUCCAAUCAUAAAUUUGGUUCUCCGCUGUCAGGGGAUUGUUGCGGCUACUCCUGAGUAAAGACGCUCCAGUCCGUUCUGUCUUUAAGGGUUUUAUUGUGCAUACUACUGGUAUUUACAGUGCAGAGAUGGCAGGAAACAUGCCCUCCUAGUCACUCGCAGAAUCCGGCAAUGGCGCCCGUCUGCUUCGGGGCCAGCAUAAUACAGUAGCUUGGACACCCCAAAACGCUGCCCUCUCACCCUACAUCUGGGCUCUCACCUCAAUUCGGGUGCCGGAAGCGGCUGUGCUCCCUCCUCCAGCUGUGGGCUAGGGCGGUGCAGGGGCUCUGAUACAUCGCUGAGCCUUCCUUCCUCCACUAGUUGGCUUGGGCAGUGCAGGGGCUCUGAUACCUCACUGAGCCUUCCCUCCAUUCCGCUUCCCUCCUCAUUCCCCCCACCUGACCCGCUGCUACCGCUCUCGCUGGGCGAAGUGCUGGUCAGGAUGAUGGGGAGAGGCUCCCUGUAGGGAGUCCCCCUGACAUCUGUGUUUGAUUUUUUAAAAAAAGUAUUGCAUUUAUAUCCCACCCUUUUCUCCAAGGAGAUCAAGGUGGCAUAUGUGGUUUUUGCCCUCUUCAUCUAUUCCCCACAACAAUCCUGUGGUGUAAUUUAGGCUAAGUGGCAGUGACUGGCCCAAGGUGACCCAGUUUGCCUCAUGGCUGAGGAGGGAUUUGAACCCUGGUCUCCCUGGUCCUGGUUUGGAAUCCAACCACUACACCAUGCUGGUGUCUUCCUGAAAAUUCACCAGCAUUUUGGUGCAAAUAUUCCCCCAGUAAAGCCCUGUUUCUGUGUAAUUUUGCCUAACACAUGCACUUUUGCAAAGCAAAAAGUUUGUAUGCUUGUUUUGCCAACCCUCAGUGGUUGAGCCUCCUCCUUUAUCAAAACCAAGGUUUAGAAGGCUUUGCAGUGACUAAAAAGCUCUCCUUUUGUGUUGAUUGCAUGGCUCUAGGAUGCUGGAAACAGGGAACCCACUGGGACUCUGCUGCAGAAAUUGCAAUGGGUCUUCAGCCUCCCUGCAACCCCCGAACAACUACUUCUCUUGCCUUUGCUGAAGAGAUGCUGCCGGGGUAGAGAGCCCUGGGCAAGCUGGCCAUACAAGCUAGCCAUCUAAACCCUAAAGAAGCCUGGGGACUGUAGGUUAUCCCUAACAAAAGCGACAAUUCCCAGCACCCUUAACAAACUACAGCUCCCAGGAUCCUUUGAGGGAAGCCAUACCCUUUAAAGGUAUGGUAGCGGUGUGACUACAGUCUCCCCUGGAAUAAGGCAGCUUCCUGCGUUACUAGUUACUGAUCGGAAAACGCUGCAGUCAACUUCUCUUCCACUACAUUGGGCAACUUUCGUGUCAUUUUUUUAAACAUGCGGCAUCUGUUCAGAGGUUCUCCUAAUUUAGUGGUUUUCCCACCAGCCUGUAGAUCAGCAUCAUUCCUAUUUUCCAGUUGGAGAUGGAACAAAGGUGGAGAUUGCAUCUUGCCAAAGGCUACUCUAUCACUGAGCUCAAAUGUGGAUGCAGGAAUCACAGCUCCAAACAAGUGCCAUGCCCACUGCAGAGCAAGCAGGAGAGAAGAGAGACAUGGGCAAGAGGUUCUCCAGAAAGAAAACCACCCCUGCUUCUUACCUGGGCUGUCAGGACAAUCCCAGUUGACUUCUUCAACUUCCUGUCCUACAUGUUUCUGAUGGGUGAGAGGAACACAGAAAGAAAGGUACAUGCCUAGGCCCCAAGGGGCUACACAGCCGAUGCAUAAAAUCCUCAUUGCAUGCAAUGCAGUAGGUGCAGGGGCCAAAUAUGUCUUCCAUACAUCUCUAUCUGGCCCUUGGGAAUCUCCUCAGGCCACAUACCUCCCUCAAACAUGCUGACUCCUUGUUGGCCACACUUCCUCUCCCCAGCCCUACUUCAUCCCAUCCUUGAAUCUCCCCCCCCCCCUGGUAGGAAUGUGUCUUUGAACUCUGAUAUUAUUUAUUUAUAGAAGUAUUUCUGUACUGCCAUAUGGCAAGCUUUUGAGGCAGUGCAAACUGCUAAAAGAACAAAACAUCAUUUUUAUAUGGCGCGAUAUAUUUUCUAUUGUAAGUUUUUCCCCAUAAACUGCCCUGAGACCUGUGGGUAUAGGGCGGUAUAUGAAUUUAAUAAAUAAAUAAUCCUUAUUAGAUAAAUAAAUACAUAAAUUGAAUGUGAAAGUAGAGGUAAUCAUGAAGUCAACGGACUGCAAAGGUGUCUUGGCACAAAGAAGCCUUCAAGAGACUCCUCCUGCAAGUCAAAAAGUGAGGGUGGCUCCAGAGUCUCUGCAGGAAGAGUGCAACAUUUAACUCUAAAUUGUCUAGCUGAGUCCAGUCAGGCCUCUGGAAGACAGGGGACAAUGAACAGCCCCCCUCCAGGUGACUGAGGGUGCAGUCAUCUAGACACUUACCCAAAGAUAACUCCCACUGAAAUCAGGGGCUGAUUUCUGAGUAGACCUGUUCGGUAUCCCAAUGUGGACAUCCUUCCAUAGCAAAACCUUCCAUGCCGAAAACUUGAUAAGGGCUACACAGGAAGGCCAUUUUGGACGAUCUAGCUCGCCACUCUCUACAUUGGCUGGUGGUGGCUGUUCAGGGUUUUAAAAUAGUGAUCUUCCCUAGCUCUUUCUCUGGAGACGCCGGGGAUUGAACUCGGGACAUUCUGCACUCAAAGCCACAUGUUCACUGAGCUACAGCCCUCCCCAAAUUUAGAGCAUCAUACCACAUGACUCAUCUAGGUCAGUGUUUCCCAAACCUGGGCCUCCAGCUGUUUUUGGACUACACUUUCCAUCAUCCCUGACCACUGGUCCUACUAGCUAGGGAUGAUGGGAGUUGUAGUCCAACAACAGCUGGAGACCCAAGUUUGAAAAAAAAAUGAUCUAGGUCAUUCUUAUAAUGCACUGACUGGCAGUGACUGUCCACAGUUUUAGGCAAUAAUCUUUCCCAGAAACGCUUGGAGAUGCCAAAGAUUGAAUCUGGGAUCUCCUGCAUCCAUAGCAGGUAUUCUACCAUGGUCCUUCUCCUGUGGUCCUUCUGGACCAUUUUUCUCCAUGCCAUGCUACUUUUCCAUGUGUUGUUACUUUUGAAUGGAGGAGCUUUCAUUCACAGUUGGUAUACCCCAGACACAAGUCUGUCUCCUCAGUGAGAUGUUGGCUACCGUGAAAGGAAGCCAACCAAAAGCCCGGUCACGAGACCCACUUUUGCCUUAAUACCACCGUAAGAACUGAUACAGCCCCCUGGAUAUCUUUCCCCCCAAGGAGUUAUCUCAAAGCCAGGCAUUCUCUCAAAGUCAUUGAGCUGGCAAAGUAAACAGAGGUCAUUUUACCUGGGCUAAACAAUAGCGUUGCUGUCAUCCAUGCCAGAGAUGGAGCAGUUAGAAAAUGCACUUGAAAGCUGGCUUUGAGACUGGUUGCUAGGCUGAGACAGACCAGGUGCCCUGUCUCAGUUUGGGGGCAGACAGUGGAAUGAGGCACAUCAGCGGUCUGGCUGGAUCAACCUUCCUGGGCAAAUUCCAGUUCCACCAAGUAAGCAAAGAGACUGGGAAAACGGAGACCAAAUUUUGCAUAACGCUGAAGCGCGACUGACUUUAGCACGACACUUUCGGUAAUUUCUAAUGCAGCCCUUUGGUUUUGCACUCCUUCUGAAUGCUGUUGCACGUGGGGGAGAAAUUCAAUUCCAUUCACACUGAAAGACAAACGUUCAAAGCGAAGCCAAAUGUAGCUAUCCCUUGAAAUUCACGGCUCUCUGAAUUCUGCAAUGUGGUUCUCCAGUCAAGGGCUGUGUGCAAAAAUGAACAGGCUAGGGGCAAAAUGUGCAUAACAAUACACGGAUCAGUGAAAAUGACACACAAACAUGCAUUAUAUAUUUGGGGAAAUUCCUUUGCAAAUAUGUGCAUACCAGGCAAAAUUCCAUAAAAUGUGUGUAUAUUCGGAUAGAUUCACACUGAAAUGCUCAGGGGGACUUUCCGUUUGAAAAUAAAAAUAAAAAUCUUGAACUGAUGUGGGAAUGUGGAGAACAGAAUUUAAAAUUUAACGCUUAAUAGAUUCUGUUGAAAUUGAUCAAUGUUAUAUUACAGCAAAAUUAAUAAGAUAUUCUAAGAACAUUAAAACAAGAGAAACUGAAAAAGAGUGAAAUGCAUAGAUUUGUGCAUCCUUGCUUUCGCACUAUCAGAUCAACUCUCUCUUGAGAGAUCUCUUUCAGUCCUGGAGCCAAAUCGAAACCACUUGGGCCAUUUUGUGAAAGUUUUGAGCCAUGCUAGAAAAUUCAUCCUCCCUGCCCCAUGAUUUUUGUAGUGUUCCUUGUAUACUCUACCACCCCAACACUACCUGACACGAUCCCGUUCUUCCAUUCCACCCCAUCCCCUUCCUUCCUGUUCAUUUCCUUUUCAUUUUUCAUGGCUUUUAAAAUAAUUUCCCUCUUUUCCUAUGUUGUUUCAUAAAAAAUUGAAGGGACAAUGUGUGCCACACUGAAGUCAGAAAGGAAUUACUUUCACUUGCUUUCCUAAACAGUAGCUGCAUUGAUAUGUUGUACUUUAAUGUAAAGGGUCAUUUCUUGAUUGCCAAACAGCCAUUCUCCCUCACAGCCACACACUUUAAGAUUAUGCAAUAAUCUUAUAAUUAUAUGAUUAUACUCUAAUAAUAAUUAUUAAGAGUGUAUUGCAACAAUGAAUGCAGAUCUCCAUACGCUGCAUUUCAGCUAGAUCUGCUAUUUUCCACGGGCAAAGGAUCUGGAAUGCGCCAAUAUUUUCUUUUGGAAUGACUUUUGUUUUCCUUGAAGUUCUAUUGCACGUAACAGAACUAGCACACCAUUCUCUCUCUUAACUUCUUAACUUUAAUCCUCAUUUUCUCAAUAUACAUAAACAAUCCCUAUAUGCCCUCACACACACACCCCAAUAAACUUUCCACUUUCUUGAACCUGAAACACCUUGUGUUUUCUGUUGUUCCCAAAGCUUUGGAGCUCACAGACCAACUCCUCAUCAGUGUUCUUCUCACACGCGUUCUCCAGAGUGACCCUAGGAGCCAGUCCUCUGUAGCUGACUCACCUCCGUUCACUCUGAUUGGCUUUGACCAGAACAAAGGGUGAGGACUUCUCAGUGGCCCAAAAGCUCUCCUCUCCUGCAGAUUGGAUGGCUUUAGGGACAGGGACUCUACAACGACUCUGCUACAGAAAUAGUAUUAGUUCCUUGAUCCUCCAUGACCCUAGAUUACACUCUGUGUCAAUUCCUAGAGAGAUUUCUUUCCUGGCUCUACUCUCUGAGAUCCCUUUGAACUGGAGAUGCCAGGUAGUGAGUCUGGAACUGUAUGCAGGUGUGCUGAAAGGGAGCUUUUGCUAUUAUCUUCCAGAAAGCUACUGGACUGUAAUACUUUCCCCCCAACUUGCUUUUUGCUAGAUUUUUAUCUCUAUCCAGGGGGAAUUAGAGACUCCAAAACACCCUGGGUUUCACGGAGUUCAUUCUCUAUGCCAGCCUAUACCAUCCUUUGAAAACAGUAUUUAAGAAUAUGCGUUGCGUUCCUGAUGCGUUCCAGUGAAUCCAAGGGGAGAUUUAUUUUCUCUCCUUCAGCAGUUGCUGGCUCAGGACCUUUUUUAUAAUUAUCUUUGAUUUGCUUCUUAAUCUACUGCUGUCUUUAAUCCUCCCUCGGGCUCAUAAAGAGAGAAAGAGAGAGGGAGGGGGAAAAACUCUAUUGGCUUCAAAAAAUAACCUCCACCUUUUUUUGGCAACAGGUUAUUUUUCUAAGUGGCUAAUUGUGUGCCGGAUUUUUUUUAGGGAAAAAAAUCACUCGCGUCGUUCUUCCAGUAUGUGUCAGGCAUGGAUUCGGCAUUAAUCACUCGCUUGCUCUGUAUGGCAUUUAUUUCUUCAGGAAAUGAAUCAGACAAGAGGGACCUGCACCUCCUCACCCUCCCCUCACUCUGCCCGUUUUGCCAGGGAAGAAGGCAAGAGGGUUUUUGUGUGUGUGUGUCUUUCUCUCUCCCCUCCCUCCCCUCCUCCUAUAUAACACACCCCCUUGCCUGUCUCUCCACCAAUGAGUUUGGCUUUGCAAAUUGCGUCUUCUGCGGCUUGAGUCAUCAGCCACGAUCACUUCGCAGCAAUGAAACCGCAGAAUCCCCUUCCAAAAGCGAGCGGUGAGUGCCAGCCAGAAGCAAAUAGAGAAAUGAAUGUUCAUGCCCGUCAGGGUAACGAGAAUGGAAACAGUGUGUAUCACUUCUUAGUCUCAGCUCUGCCUGCCAACGCCUGAAUUCCUGCAGUUAAAAAGGGGGGACUGAAGUGAGGAGUUCAUUGCCUCCUCUCCUCUCCUAGCCAGAGUUCCUACUGGAACUCGUCCUUACUGUACUACUGGCUAUGUUGCAUGUGGUGGACUUAGAUUAGGAGAGCCCUGGGACGUCUGCGGAUGCAGAAGACUGUGUGCCUGUGUGUGCAUUCAGAGCCUAACUCAUAAAAAUAAAGGUGCUCAGAAUUAAGACAGCAGGAACCAUGUUUUGGGACCAGGGAUGGGGGAGAAAUUUGAUUCAGUUCACAUUUAAAGCUUCGGAAAGAAGAAGCAAUCUGAAACACAGCCAUCCUUUUAAACUUCGCACUCCUCUGAAUUUUGCAACGCAGUUCUCCAGUCAUGAAAUGUGUACAAAAAUGCACAAUAAUGGGUCGACGAUGCAUAUAAAUGUAUAGAUCAGCAAAAAGAACAUAUGAAACUGUAGUAAAUUAGGGAAAAUUGCUUUGCAGAUAUGUCUAUGAGGCAAGACCACAAUUUCUCUUGUUGUCUGUUGGGCAAAAUUACACGAAAACCUGUAUAUGAGACCUUAAUAGGAGGGCUAGGCAAUAAGACCCCUACUCCUCUCCCAGAGCUAAAGUUCCCAGAAUGGUUUAACAAUCAAAGCCUCUUUACAGAGAACUUGGGGAACUGGGAGGGGAAUGUGGUGGGUGGGUGUCUCCAAGCAAGUCUCAGCAUCCUUAACAAACUGCAGCUCCCACAAUUCUUUUGGGGAAUCCAUGACUGUUUAAAGUGGUUUCAUUGUGCUUUAAAUGUAUGGUGUGAAUAUGGUCUUAGUCAUGAUAACCAGGACUUUUUCUUUUCUUUUCUUUUCCAGCUGGAACUCAACAAAACUCAGUUCUGGCACUUCUCAUGCGGGUGCUAUUGUCAUUCUAAGAGAAUGAGGGAAGUGUUCAUGGUGCAUGGAUUCAAAAAACAGAUGUUUCCAGAAUGGGUAAGUCAAACACCUUUUGAUAUCUGGUAAAUCUACCUUAGGAGAAGGAACACCUCUGGAUCUUGAAAUCUGGGUAUUGGGUACUGAACAUACCAGAUCUUAAACCUGGGUCAAAUGUUCUGCAUGCUAACUCCACGAUAAAGAAAGCAUUGUAAGGUGAACUGAGAACUCCGACUUGAGUUGCAGGAACCUUGCUGAAGCUCAGGAUGUCUGGGCCUGGGCGAUGAAAAGCAGGAUAUUCAAAUGAUGAAUAACAACACUAAAUAAUGAUUUCCAUAAGGUCCCAUUGAAAUUGCACCUGAAAUUAUGUGGAACUCCCUGCCCCAAGAGAUCAGGUUAGCUCCCACUAUCUUUGUGUUCUGAUGGCAAUUGAAAAGUUUCACCAGAAGACAGGAAAGAAGCCUUAUACUGAGUCAGACCAAUGGUCAAUCUAGCUCUACACUGACUGGCAGCAGCCCUCCAGGGUUUCAGGUGGAGGAUGUUCACAGCCCUGCCUGAAGGUGCCAUUGGAGAUUGAAACUUUCUGCAUGCAGAGCAGAUGCUCAGACACUCAUCUUUCUUAAACAAGCUUAAACUUCUGCUACUGAUUAUUGUUAGUGUUACCCUUGAUGCUUUUGAUGCUGUUUUUUUUAAAAAAAAAUAGUUGCGUUAUUUUGUGCGUUGGUGAUUGAAUUAUUGGUGAUUUGACGUUUGCUUAUUGUUCUCAAGCUGCUCUGAGCAACUCUUUUCACAGGGAGAGAAGUGGGAUUUACAUUUUUUGAAUAAGUAAAUUGAAAUGCAAAUCCAAAGAUUCCUCCUUUGGUGAUGUGUAUUAAGGAGAGCUGACAGGGCUGGCCUAAUAAGCAUUUCUGCCUGAGGUGGAGCAGGAAAUGGUUCCUUCUUCCCACACCAAGUCAAGGUGCAGAACGCCCAAGGCCAGCCCAAGCUAAGUUGGCACCUAAGGAGCAAAAUCCCACAAGCACAUCACUCCUUCCCUGAGGCAAGUGCCUCACCCUGCCUAAUGGCAGAGCUGGCCCUGGGACCCAGAUGAGUUCUGGAAGACUAAUUGCAUUUCUAAAGAAAUGUGUGUGCUUUCCCCCCCUACACACAUGCCUUAACUAUUACCAGGUUUUGCCUAACAUGGAAGUUUGAAGUGAAUUCAAGGAAAAUCAGGAAAAACAUCAGUGAAAUUUCAGAGGGGAAAUAAGACACCCAGCGAAAUUUCUUCUCUCACACCCUCUAACUGCAAGUUAGGCACAUCAAUAUCUGCAUUUUGCCUCUCCUCCUAUCCUUAGAAGAUGCAGGACUGUCCAUCCAAGUUGCAGGUACAGAAAGAUCCCCAAACUGAGCAGGCCCAGACCAAUCCUGUAGACUUCAGAGCACCUUCAAUGUUGCCCUUUUCAAUAUUGUUUGUGAAAUGGACAACACAAGUCUGUGGUUUGGGGGGGGGGUUGUUUGUUUGUUUGUUUGUUUGUUUUUUAACAGACAGAAGUCAGUUUUUGAUCUUCAUUACAUGUGGACAUUCUUGGUGUGUGAUCACUCCACUUCACCAUCCCAUUUGCAGGAGGUGAACUGGGACAGCCAUCUGGCAUCUGUUUUUUUUUUUUUUUGUGGGGAGGGAAUUCAAACCCACAAUGUGCUUUUGGAGGGGAGGGAGCUUAGCAUGCAAGAAAAUCCCUGCUGGAUAUGACCAAAGACCACCUAGCAUCCUAUUCUCCUAGUCUCUAACCAGAUGCCUAUGGAAAGCCCAAAACCAGACCUGAGUGCAACAGCACUCACCCUGUUUGAGAUCCCCGGCAACUUAAUAUAGGGAAGAAAGCAUAGUUAUUCUUCAGAUCUCUCAGUUCUCCAAAUUUGGUAAUACAAGUCCUCAGCUUAUGGAACAUACCAUAAUGCAUAAAAUAAGUCUAAACCUCAGGGUAAAAUACACUCAGAAGUGUCUAUAUUUAGAUAAUAUGUGAUAAAGUGCAUUUAAGCAGUAUUUAGAUAUUAAUUUUAGGAUGGAUUUUGGUGGGGUUUUUUUUUAAUAAAAAACACAGACAAAUGUGAAAAUGCAUGUGAAAUUAACAUAGACUCAAAAUACUCAUUAGCCCUUUCCUAAUUAUAAUCCUACCCCACUAAAUCUGUUCUGAUAGAGUAGAAUUGGGGAGGGCACAAGGUGUGUCUGGGUUGUUGUGCAAGUGGAAAUCCUUGUGCUGAUGUCUUAGUUGGGUACUGCCCAUGAUGAAUAAAUAUUUCCUUGGUGGUCUGGCAGUCAGAAUUGCACCUGCAACAUGAUUUGCUGCUUGUAGGGGGCCCACAAGGAUAUUCACUGGUGGCUUAUGCUUCCUCCAAAGUGCUCAGAGCAGCUUCCAUCUGGUUCCCAGGUGGUCCCCCAUCCAAGCAGGUUACAUGGCCAGGCUUGCUUAGCUUCAACAAUAGAACUGUUUUAUGAGCCUUUAGACUAUCAUCUGGUCAUAUCCUCCAUCUCGCAUUCAACCUUUAUGAGCUCAUAUGUGUAGGUGCUUUGGAGGAUGUACCAGACAUCUUUUGGACCACUUCCUGAUCCUGUUAGCACAUGUGGUGUUAGAAGGAGGAGGAGCUCAAUUUCAAUUCUGAAACCCCAGGAGGUUCAAUAGGGUGGAGGUUGUGGCUGUUUCCCUUCCACAUGCACGCAUUUUCCAGCUGCUUCUGGCUAGCUUUCCUUCUCCCACCUAGACAGGGAUGUCCUCUGCUUGGUAGAGAAGGCAGCCUUACCUGUGGUGCUUCACUGACUCCUGUUCAAGGCUCAGAAUUGUGUGGGGCUGCCAUUCAGUGGAAAGACAGAGCAGCGUAGGGCUCAUCUUGCAGUUGGGCACCACUGCAUCCAAUAAAGAUGCAGCAGAAUUUGCCGUACUUAGAGAAGAUCUGGCAAAUGCAAGGUCAUCAGGACAGGUAGAUAAGGCAGCGGGAUGAAGGACAGAUCACAAAGCAUGUGGGCUCCAAGUGAAGGCAACUUUGAAUGUUGCUCCAAGGUCAAUCAGUAGAAUAUGGAGGACGGGAACACUGUGGGAGGGAGGUGGGUGAACUUGACUUCAGAUCCCUGGAGAAGUCAGCCCACACUUAAGGAGCAGGCCUGGAUCAGGACCCAGUGGAUGCAGGACUAAUUCAGCCCCCUGCCGCCCCCUCCCUGCCCAAUGCCGUGGCUUUCUAUGGACCACCAUUACAGCAUUUCCACCUGCUCAUUCAGUGGGUGGAAUGAGGGAUGCCUCUGUCCAACCCAAAGCUCUCCAGCCCAGCGCAAAGAGGAGCUGGAUUGAAGCCUGGGUUGCAUUCUUCAGCUGUGUCUCUUCCAUGGCAGUGAAGGUGGGAUGUCAGGAGCUGAGAUAUCCUCCAGACACUGGAAGAGAGACAUUCGAAGGGGCCAGUGGAAAAGCUCUCAUGGCCCUAGGAGAUGAUUCUUUGUGAUCUAUGGGGAUCUUACAGGAGAGCUCACUCCUGGGGCCAUCUUGAGAUGAAGAGAUAUUUGACUCUAGAUCCUGGGCCAUUUGUCACAUUCCACUCCCCCCUGUGCUGAGAAUAUUUCUGUCAAGGGAAAUUGCAGCAUAUUAUGUAGCCUUGGGCUAUAGCUGUUAGUGGAAGCCCUCCAUAGCAGAGCACUUUUUUUUUUGCAUGCAGAAGGCUCC